GCCAGGCAUGGUGGUGCGUGCCUGUAGUCCCAGCUACUUGGGAGGCUGAGACAGGAGAAUUGCUUGAACCCAGGAGGCGGAGGUUGCAGUGAACUGAGAUUGUGUCACUGCACUCCAGCCUGGGUGACAGAGCGAGACUCUGUUUCAA
ensembl:misc_RNA Metazoa_SRP Metazoan signal recognition particle RNA